GACGAACGCUGGCGGCGUGCUUAACACAUGCAAGUCGAACGGUGAAGCGCUUUCCUUUUUGGUUGGUGUGGAUGAGUGGCGAACGGGUGAGUAACACGUGAGUAACCUGCCCCCUUCUUCUGGAUAACCGCAUGAAAGUGUGGCUAAUACGGGAUAUUCUGCGCCUGCUGCAUGGUGGGUGUGGGAAAGAUUGUGCCUUUGGGUGUGUUCGGUGGGGGAUGGGCUCGCGGCCUAUCAGCUUGUUGGUGGGGUGAUGGCCUACCAAGGCGGUGACGGGUAGCCGGCCUGAGAGGGUGGACGGUCACACUGGGACUGAGACACGGCCCAGACUCCUACGGGAGGCAGCAGUGGGGAAUAGUGCGCAAUGGGCGCAAGCCUGAUGCAGCGACGCCGCGUGAGGGAUGGAGGCCUUCGGGUUGUGAACCUCUUUCGCCAGUGAAGCAGGCCUGCUCCUUGUGGGUGGGUUGACGGUAGCUGGAUAAGAAGCGCCGGCUAACUACGUG
rnacentral:rRNA from 1 species